CCCUUAGAUGUCCUGGGCUGCACGCGCGCUACACUGACGAAUGCAACGAGCUUAUAACCUUGGCCGAAAGGUCUGGGUAAUCUCCAAAUUUCGUCGUGAUGGGGAUAGAUUAUUGCAAUUAUUAAUCUUCAACGAGGAAUGCCUAGUAAGUGCAAGUCAUAAGCUUGCGCUGACUACGUCCCUGCCCUUUGUACACACCGCCCGUCGCUACUACCGAUUGAAUGAUUUAGUGAGGACUUCGGACUGGGACCGAUGCGGCUUUCGGGCUGCGUCGGUAUUCUGGAAAGAUGUCCAAACUGUAUCAUUUAGAGGAAGUAAAAGUCGUANCA
rnacentral:rRNA from 1 species